rnacentral:rRNA from 1 species
GACGGAGGGUGCAAGCGUUGUUCGGAUUGACUGGGCGUAAAGGGCGUGUAGGCGGUCGGCCAAGUCUGAUGUGAAAGCCCGAGGCUCAGCCUCGGAAGUGCGUCGGAAACUAGUCGGCUGGAGCGCGAUAGAGGAGGGUGGAAUUCCUGGUGUAGCGGUGAAAUGCGUAGAUAUCAGGAGGAACACCGGCGGCGAAGGCGGCCCUCUGGAUCGUUGCUGACGCUGAAACGCGAAAGCGUGGGGAGCAAACAGG